UUUAUUAACCUGGACCAUUUACAUUCACGAACAUAUAACGAUACUAAAGUAAAUGGUUUGAACCCGGGAGUAUGUCGUUCACUCAACCGAUAAAUCAACAGUCACAAUUGUCACGAUAUGAUAUGUAUUUAUUGGCAUUUACGCGACACCUGUUAUGUUCGGUAUGAGCCGAGCUCUUUUGUCUUUUCCCAUUGCAUUAUUAAAAAUACUCUGUACUGAUUACAAAUAAUGUUGAAGGUUUUAACAAGCGAAUUCUCAUUGAAAGUAACCAGAGCAAACAUUUCGGAUUUAAUUGUAUUUUAUAGUUUGACUCGGUUUGACGUGUAUUUUGAGUUAAUGUUCAUGGUAAUUUUGGUAUAUUUUAAAUCCACAUAGAUAAUGUCAGAUAUUAUUUGUUAUUAUGCAUCAUAAGAAAGAUGAAUAGAUUUUUCUCUUUAAUUUAGAACAAAAACACAAAGACCAGUGACCAGAGUGAACCAAGAAAUUGAUAAACAAUGCGUCGCACUUUUAAUUGAUUUACUUCAUGUGAAACUACAACUUUAAGACUAGUUAGUGCAUUUAAGACUCGUUGGACACAUUUAUUUGCUUUCUCCUUUACGUUAUAUUCACGAAAAAAGUAAAAGCACUGUGACCAGAGUCCCAUAGAGUACAUACGGAUAACCAGACACACAGAAUAGAUACGUAACAAAAGCGCCGCUCAGCGAAAAAUCUGCCCCCCACUUGCACCCAGUUCUCAAAUGCGCAUCCAUUGCGUCCGCCAUUACUCCAGCCGGAUAAACUGGCCAGAAUGCAUAUAUGUUAAUAUUAUGGAGAGUUGUUUUUCGAAAAUUUGAUGAAUGUAAAUUCACUUAUGGACAAAAUUUUUGAUGCUAUCGGACAGGAUAUCAAGGAUAUGAGAAAAGAUUUUCCUAUUAGAAUGGUCAAUGGAUUGGUUGGAAGCGAUAAAACCUACUGUGCGUAAAGAACGUUCUUCAGAUAAAGACGUUAAUAGUGUAGAAUUUGGACUAAACUGCUUUUAUAUUUGAUGCUUGAAUGAGGGCUUUUUAUUUGCAACGUAGCUUGUCUGCAUAAUUGUAAUUGAAAGUUUAUAUUUGUAAUUGUACAUUGAGUUCCUAUGGCUAUCAUGUCUGUCAAAUUUGUAUUAACUUACAAAUAAAGAUGUUUUUUGUUGUCUUAUUUUUAAUAAACAAUAUAUGAAAUUACAAUUAUUUAAAGAAUAAAGUCAUUGAUAAAUUGUUUCCAUUAAA